CUCCUACGGGAGGCAGCAGUGAGGAAUAUUGGACAAUGGGCGCAAGCCUGAUCCAGCCAUGCCGCGUGCAGGAUGACGGUCCUAUGGAUUGUAAACUGCUUUUGUACAGGAAGAAACACUCGGACGUGUCCGAGCUUGACGGUACUGUAAGAAUAAGGAUCGGCUAACUCCGUGCCAG
rnacentral:rRNA from 1 species